GGCGGAUGCGCCAAGCCAAGAGGUGCAGGCGGCAGUUAAGAAUAUCGGGCUCAUCCUCAUCCUGGAGAGUUUCAUAAUCCGAGCAGUUCACAAAGUGUUUCACCGUGGUUAAUUUUGCUGGGCAUUAUCGAUACAGUGGUACCGAUAGAACGGCUCGACAAGACAUAAUCCGGCUAUAGAAUUUUUUCUUCAGAGUGCGAGGAACGGAUCAUUCAAAUUCACUUUAUGAUGGAUUCACCGUUAUCUGUUGUCCGAUGGUUAACUCGUUUGCGGCUAGCUGCUCACGUAGGUACAUAACGAAGCAGAGGCGCGAGAUAAAGAACGGGGGACCAAAUAGUGCCCCGGAGAGACCGGACCACUCUGAGUAGGACUAACCGGACUAAGGACGACUCGUUCGUCGUGCUUUGCACCACUCCCUCCGUUCCUCCUUGCUCCAUCCUUCCCUCUCUCUUCUUCCAUAUAUCCCCCGCUUGCCCGCUACUCUUUCACCGUUCGAAGAAGACCAGAAGUAACCGAACUAAAUUAGGCUGAAAAAGACGGGAUUUCGGUCGCAAGGAAAAUUGUCUUAGGGAUUUCGGACUUCGAUACACACUUUUGCGCCACAAUCAAUCUCAGCUGGAUAUUUCAAGUUCAAAUAUCCCACAUGCAACCAUACAGUAUACGAUGAAAGGGGGAAAAGGCGCGGGUUUCAGCAUCGGCAUCGGCAUCAGCAUGGGGCAAGCAGCACGAGACAAUGGCCACACCCCGGCAACCCGCGGCUUUCUCCUAUAACAUCCAACAAAGGCAUAGCAUCCAACGUGUUACAGAAAUCGAGAUUGAUCGUGCAGACGAUGCAGCUGCGGAACGGUGGUGCCGUUUUCACUUUAAUACACCAUCGUCACGGAAAGGCGCGUCGUAUUACGGUCUCGGUUCAUCUAUAUUGAAGAGUGCGUUGCGGCUCAUCAAUUAUUAUUCUCUUACUAGUCAGUCAGAAGUCACUGGUUUUUUUUUCUAUUUUUUUUCUUCUCUAAAUGGGUAAGUAGGUAAGCAUUUCUAUUUAUACACCAUCUCUUAACGACGCUGUGUAUACGAAAUGUGAUGUUAUUUCUAAGACGAAUUAUUAGAUGCGAUAAAUCAUAUAACGUUAUAAUUACUAUAGUAUAGAACUAGGAGAAGAGAAAUUGCGUUUAUGACGCGGUAUAAUUAUUCCAUAACUCUACUUGAAAACGGCAAAUGAUAAUCAAAUAUAACCGGCGGGAAUUGACGUUCCAUAUUAUAAGACAUACACUAUGAAUAUGAUCGCGUGCAGAUCAGCGAAACGGCAUGAUGUCGUUGAUAUUCUAAGUGCAAAACGGUCGUGUCACCUUCGGCUUCCAGCAGAUGAAGUAGAAUGCUGGGUUUCAGAUUCUGUGUCCACAGGAUCAGGACUCGAUCGUUGCAGAAAAGUUUGCUGCAGCUGCACAGUCGCAGCAGCAAAUAUAUGCUCGAGGUAGAAUUGGGAAUCGGGCAACGCCCGCGCGUGGAGCACAACGAGAUAGCCAAAACCGGUUGCCGGUUCAUCGCAUUCGGUCCAUGCGUCUUACUUUCGACUAUACGAACUUUUGGGGUUCCUGGAACGAGACAAGCUGAACAUAAAUGUUCGCGCACAUAUAUGUACGUAUAUGUGUUUGUAGAUGUGGAAAGAACUCGCUGGAUACUCGCGGUCAUGAAACCCGCAGGAAACAACGAACUACGAGAUAUCAGGAGAGGGUCCUGCAGGGUCUCAUGGGGGCACCCAGGGAUUGAGAAUAUAUAAUCGAGACGCUCCCUGCGGGGAGCUCGUAAUUUAGGAAUGUACAAACUCUGACCCUGAGGAGGUGUGUGCGUUGAAUAUAAAUUAUUGCAUUCCAAACUCCACUCGCACGAUUUUGCCUCGUGCGAGUGGUAAUUGAUGCUUUCAUUCGUUUAUUUUUUACUCGUUUUCUCUGCAAAAAGAGCAAUUUCGCGGAACUCUACACUGUUGACCGAAGAAAAGGAUAACGGGCCAUGUGUAAGACGCUCCGUUACCAAACAGUUACAAGGCUGGCUUGGGAAAAGUUUUGGAUAAAAUAAGAAAUGCUUGACGUUAUCAUAUAGUUCUAAUUCUGAUUAUAGCCAUGAUCGUAAAACGCAAUGCAAGAUAUACUUCAGAUAAGCCGUAUUAAUCCGUCAAAAUGUAUUUUGUCGAGAUCUCAAUAUCUGAACAAAGAAAUAUGUACGAUCGGGUGUUUAAAUUCUCGAUAAGGUUUGGUCCCGUUUUUCGGCGUGGACGAUUAUUUUAUCUAUUUCUGAAGUGUCACGAGCCACAGACACGUCGAAUAAACACGCAAAGACAGUAUACCGCGCCUGAAUAACAUCUGCAGGCUCCCUUGUAAUAAGCGUGCAGCAUAAUAAUAAUUAAUUAAUUAU